ACUCAAAUGUUCUUCUUAGGGUAAAUCUACAUAGAAGGUAAGAGUUUUCUACCAUGAAUAGUUUCUGUUAGCUCAAGUGGUGGGAGGCUGAUGGGAAACUGAUGUUCCAACUAUGUAUGACAACCCUUGUGAGGACUGUGGCGAUAUUUUGAUGUAGCUUUUGUUUAUUUUUCUUACCUCUUUUAAGACUUCAGAAACCUUAUGGAACUUAAUUCACAGAACACUGUUAAUGUUGCAAAGUCAUCCAGAACCGAGGAGAUUAAGGCUGUCCUUGCAGCCUUAUUCAGCUCCCUUUUACAGCAUGAUCUUUAAUGUCACAGCUUUAUAUUAUUUUCUUUUGAAAUGCUUGUAUGUUUUAUUCAGUGCACAAUGUAAGAAGAAUAUAGAGAAAUCAAGAAAUAGUAGAGAAAUGAUGAUGUCAAGGUGACAAACUGUAGAGCUACAUCCACCUCUGAACUCUGCUCAUUAAACUAUCUCCUCUGGGACUUCUUACUUUCCCCUAAGAAGCUUCAAAGUAUUGCUGUUUUCUUUAUAUCAGGCUUCUUCAUCUCUUCCUCUCUUCCUCUGAAUAGUGGGGCUUCUGUUAAUGGAAGUAUUACUACAUGGUGAAUAAAGAGUGCAUAUGUGGCUAAAAGCCAGGGUUAUGGCAAGAUGUCAGACCUUCAAUCGUAACAAUUAGGUGUCAGGAAAAAAAGGCAAAACAAAGUUUUUAAAUUUUUGAAGUGCAUAUAGUGUUUUAUUUACACUUUUCCUCUUCUGACAAACUGUAUAGGAGCAGACCUGAGAUACUGACACAAGCCUGGAGUAGCUAAAGAGACAGGUCUGCUGCAAGCACAGACAAAGCUGGAAGUUUUUCUGUCUCCUGCUCUGUGCCUGUACAGUCCUUGGAGGAGUGAGGCUUCAUGUCAUAAUGAAAAGAUUUCUUGGACAUCUCCCAGCAUGUACUCAUGAGCACAUGCAACAGUGUAUUCCAGUGGGAGAGACGGCCCAUACAUGUGUCGUCUGGGAUCAUCCUGCCCACAGUGAACCAGGACUUGUGGAGAGGAAAUCUCUUUGGGCCGGGAAUGCGUUAACUGUUUGGCGUUGGCUCUUCCAUGAAGGACUGGGUGCAUUUUCCCACAAAGAUAUUGCCUCAGAAGUGCCAUCUUCACUGUAA
rnacentral:lncRNA from 1 species